UACGAACGGUCCAACCGUUAUUCGGCAUCCCUGGGCUUAAAGCGUCCGUAGGCGGCUCGGAAAGUAGGGUGUGAAAUCCCACGGCUCAACCGUGGAAUUGCGCUCUAAACUAUCGAGCUAGAGGGAGAUAGAGGUGAGCGGAACUGAUGGUGGAGCGGUGAAAUGCGUUGAUAUCAUCAGGAACACCGGAGGCGAAGGCGGCUCACUGGGUCUUUUCUGACGCUGAGGGACGAAAGCUAGGGGAGCGAACGGG
rnacentral:rRNA from 1 species